rnacentral:lncRNA from 1 species
UAAGAUUAAGAAUGAAAUUAUUCGAGAGAAGGUGGGGUGGCCCCGGUGGAUGAGAAGAUGCGUGAAGCGCGACUGAGGUGGUUCGGGCAUGUGCGGAGGAGAAGUCCCGAUGCUCCGGUGAGGAGCUGCGAGCGGCUGGAGAUCGUUGCCCCGGUGGAUGAGAAGAUGCGAGAAGCGAGGCUCAGGUGGUUCGGGCAUGUGCGUAGGAGAAGUCCUGAUGCCCCGG